AAAUAACUCAACACACAGCCAUUAAUGUCUAAACCACUGGCAACAAAAGUGAGUACACCCCUAAGUGAAAAUGUCCAAAUUGGGCCCAAAGUGUCAAUAAAAAUAUGGUGUGGCCACCAUUAUUUUCCAGCACUGCCUUAACCCUCUUGGGCAUGGAGUUCACCAGAGCUUCACAGGUUGCCACUGGAGUCCUCUUCCACUCCUCCAUGACGACAUCACGGAGUUGGUGGAUGUUAGAGACCUUGUGGUCCUCCACCUUCUGUUUGAGGAUGUCCCACAGAUGCUCAAUAGGGUUUAGUCCAUCACCUUCACCCUCAGCUUCUUUAGCAAGGCAGUGGUCGUCUUGGAGGUGUGUUUGGGGUCGUUAUCAUGCUGGAAUACUGCCCUGCGGCCCAGUCUCCGAAGGGAGGUCAUCGUGCUCUGCUUCAGUAUGUCACAGUACAUGUUGGCAUUCAUGGUUCCCUCAAUGAACUGUAGCUCCCCAGUGCGCAGCACUCAUGCAGCCCAAGACCAUGACACUCCCACCACCAUGCUUGACUGUAGGCAAGACACAGUUGUCUUUGUACUCCUCACCUGGUUGCCACCACACACGCUUGACACCAUAUGAACCAAAUGAGUUUAUCUUGGUCUCAUCAGACCACAGGACAUGGUUCCAGUAAUCCAUGUCCUUAGUCUGCUUGUCUUCAGCAAACUGUUUGUGGGCUCUUUUGUGCAUCAUCUUUAGAAGAGGCUUCCUUCUGGGACGACAGCCAUGCAGACCAAUUUGAUGCAGUGUACUGCGUAUGGUCUGAGCACUGACAGGCUGACCCCCCACCCCUUCAACCUCUGCAGCAAUGCUGGCAGCACUCUAUUGCCCAAACACAACCUCUGGAUAUGACACUGAUCAUGUGCACUCAACUUCUCUGGUCGACCAUGGUGAGGCCUGUCCUGUUAAACCGCUGUAUGGUCUUGGCCACCGUGCUGCAGCUCAGUGUCAGGGUCUUGGUAAUCUUCUUAUAGCCUAGGCCAUCUUUAUGUAGAGCAACAAUUCUUUUUUUCAGAUCCUCAGAGAGUUCCUUGCCAUGAGGUGCCAUGUUGAACUUGAAGUGACCAGUAUGAGGGAGUGUGAGAGCAGUGACACCAGAUUUAACACACCUGCUCCCCAUUCACACCUGAGACCUUGUAAUACUAACAAGUCACAUGACACCGGGGAGGGAAAAUUGCUAAUUGGGCCCAAUUUGGACAUUUUCACUUAGGGGUGUACUCACUUUUGUUGCCAGCGGUUUAGACAUUAAUGGCUGUGUGUUGAGUUAUUUUGAGGGGACAGCAAAUUUACACUGUUGCACAAGCUGUACACUCACUACUUUACAUUGUAGCAAAGUGUCAUUUCUUCAGUGUCGUCACAUGAAAAGUUAUAAUCAAAUAUUUACAAAAAUGUGAGGGGUGUACUCACUUUUGUGAGAUACUGUAUAUGCUAGGAACAACUUCUUACAUUGGAUCCAAAACUGCUGACAUAGGAACAAGCUCAUUUUAUGGAAAGAAGAGAGGUAAGUAAAAUGUUUAGUUUAGUUUUUUUUUUUAUAUAUUAUAAUCACGUAUCACACAUAUUCUUGUUUAUUAAAGUGUCAGGAAUAAUACAUUUAGUUCUGAAAGCAGUUCAAUUGUUUGUGUUUCAAAAUAUUAGCCUUUUUAUGAAUGCAAAUUAUAGUGGACACCAGGACCAUCUUAAUGUACUUAAUGACUCCAUGUUGUGGGAGACAGAACUGAAGCAGAGAGGAUUCUUUAUAAGAUAGUUGAGGGAGAUUCAGACGUAGACCUGUAAGAUGAUGAGAGAGACGAUGAGAAUUUGAACCUGAUAUACAAGAAGAUGGUGAAGAAGAGGAAGGAAAUGCAGGAGACUCAGAUAAGCAGGCAGAUAAAGACACAGAGACAGAAAGGGAUGAGCAGGGAAAUACGUCGCCCUCUGUGGACCAGGAGUAACACAUAUGAAUUAUUUAGUUCCAGGAUAAUUUAUUCAGUUCUAAUAAUUAGCCACUAUUAAUAUUGUAGUGAACUGUUCUAUACACACAUACACACAAUUCACUACAACCAAUGAGAAAUCAUCAGUGAUAAAUAUAAUUUAUCAGUGAGGCUUGAAGAUUAUCCACACAGUAUCAUGAAAUAUGCAAACUGGCUAUAGAAUGCAAGGUUUGUACUUAUGAGUGUAGUCAAUAGGAGACCAUGUCACAUCUGUAACACUGGAAUUCAACUCGAUUUGAGUGAGGUUUAAUUAUUAUUCAUAUUACAUUUCAUUUAUAAGUGUUUUUUCCUCCCAUCAUAAUCGAUUCACACCUGUGCUCCCUGGGCUUCCUGACUGUAAAGAUGGCCCUACUACCCUUCUCCCAGUACAGUGACAACAAAAUGUUCAAAAUUGGCAGCAUUUACAAAUCAAAGAGAGCUACAAAAUAGCUGUUUCUAAAUACUACUCCACAAGAAAUGAAGAUCGUCUUCGGCAUUUCAGUCCACAUGGCCUGCAUAGGCUAUCUCAGAAUUCAAAUGUUUUGGGCCAAAAAACAAAAGUGCCAGUUAUAAGCAGCAGAAUGACAAGGAAUACGUGUUUUUUUUUCAAGCUGAGAAGCUCACUCAAGAUUGUCGGUGACCUGGCUAUAUCAUAUGAAACAAAGAAGGCAGACGUUCUUUGGAAAGUCAGGCCAUUACUUGACCGCAUGAGGCAAGGCUAUCUCAGCCUCCAAAAGUCAGAGAAGGUCUGCAUCGAUCAGCAAAUCAUCCCUUUCACAGGCUGCUGUCCAGUCAGGCAAUAUGUUCCAGGCAAGCCAAACCCUACUGGCCUAAAGGUCUUUGUCCUAUACAAGUACACAGUGUAAAAAUAUAGUGCAUAGUGUGUGACUUGAGACGUAACCCAGCAGUGUACAGGCUUGUUCUUUAGCAAUAACUGCACACCACACACACACACACACACACACACACACACACACACACACACACACACACACACACACACACACACACACACACGCCCUCUCUCUCUCACUCACACAC
ensembl:lncRNA